rnacentral:rRNA from 1 species
CCCUAAAAAAUACUCCCAGUUCAGAUUGUUCUCUGCAACUCGAGAACAUGAAGUCGGAGUUGCUAGUAAUCGCGAAUCAGCAUGUCGCGGUGAAUACGUUCCCGGGCCUUGUACACACCGCCCGUCACACCAUGGGAGUUGGAAGCACCCGAAGCCGGUGACUUAACCGCAAGGAGAGAGCCGUCGAAGGUGAAGCCGAUGACUGGGGUGAAGUCGUAACAAGGUAGCCGUAUCGGAAGGUGCGGCUGGAUCACCUCCUU